AGGGAAUAUUGGACAAUGGGCGCAAGCCUGAUCCAGCCAUGCCGCGUGAGUGAUGAAGGCCUUAGGGUUGUAAAGCUCUUUCGGCGGGGACGAUAAUGACGGUACCCGCAGAAGAAGCCCCGGCUAACUUCGUGCCAGCAGCCGCGGUAAUACGAAGGGGGCUAGCGUUGUUCGGAAUCACUGGGCGUAAAGCGCAUGCAGGCGGAUCGUUAAGUCGGGGGUGAAAGCCCGAGGCUCAACCUCGGAACUGCCUUCGAUACUGGCGAUCUUGAGUCCGGGAGAGGUGAGUGGAACUGCGAGUGUAGAGGUGGAAUUCGUAGAUAUUCGCAAGAACACCAGUGGCGAAGGCGGCUCACUGGCCCGGUACUGACGCUGAGAUGCGAAAGCGUGGGGAGCAAACA
rnacentral:rRNA from 1 species